rnacentral:misc_RNA from 1 species
UUGUAUUUAUUAAUUUAUUUGCGUAUUCGAGUUGUAUUCGAAAUACUUUUAUCAUACAGGUUUUGGUUGAUCCCAAGUAAUUCAAGCAAAUUGAAUUCCUUGUUCGUUAAUGAUCCUUCCGCAGGUUCACCUACGGAAA